rnacentral:rRNA from 1 species
CCUACGGGUGGCAGCAGUGAGGAAUAUUGGUCAAUGGACGAGAGUCUGAACCAGCCAAGUAGCGUGAAGGAUGACUGCCCUAUGGGUUGUAAACUUCUGUUGUAUGGGAAUAAAACGUUCCACGUGUGGGAUUUUGUAUGUACCCUAUGAAUAAGGAUCGGCUAACUCCGUGCCAGCAGCCGCGGUAAUACGGAGGAUCCGAGCGUUAUCCGGAUUUAUUGGGUUUAAAGGGAGCGUAGGUGGAUUGUUAAGUCAGUUGUGAAAGUUUGCGGCUCAACCGUAAAAUUGCAGUUGAAACUGGCAGUCUUGAGUACAGUAGAGGUGGGCGGAAUUCGUGGUGUAGCGGUGAAAUGCUUAGAUAUCACGAAGAACUCCGAUUGCGAAGGCAGUUCACUGGACUGCAACUGACACUGAGGCUCGAAAGUGUGGGUAUCAAACAGGAUUAGAUACCCUAGUAGUC